GACACCCGUGCCACUAAACCCUUUCACUUAGCAACAUUGGUAGCCGCCGCGAGCAACGACGGAGAGCGAACUCCGUUGAGAAAGUUUUGAGCCCUCUUCUCCCUUCUUUCGCGCACUCUUCUCCUUCUUGUUGAUCACCAUCGACUGACCCUAAUAUGCGCGGCCCACGAACACUUGUGGCACUAAACCCUUUCACUCAGCAACGUUCCUAGCCCCCGCGAGCAACAAUGGAGAGAGAACUCCAUUGAGAAAGUUCUGAGCCCUCUUUUCCCUUCUUUGGCGCACUCUUCUCCCUUCUUGUUCAUCACCAUUGACUGACCUUCGUUUUCGCUUUGCCCUCCACUGCGAGCAACGACGGCGAUCGAACCUGGGGCAGCGGUAGUAGUCUUCGGUCUGGUUUUUGCUUUAGGAGAUUUUCUUCCAUCAGGAAGUGUUAGUCCCACUGAAGAGAGUGUUGUGGUCAAUAAUAAGUUUUCCGAGGAGGAUAAAGAUACUCUUCAGGGUGCAAUCCUCCUCAUUGGUUAUUGUUACAGCAGUUCAGGUGGAGCUAGCAAUGAUAUCAAGGAUGUAAGCAAACUUGAAGACGGCUUUUCUCCCCCACAAAAUUUGUGAUGAUAUAGACAAAGAGUGUCGUUCUUUUCUAUGGGGCCACAAGGGAGAACAACAUCGUAUCCAUGUUGUGGCAUGGCCCUUAAUUUGCAAACCGAAAGCAGAAGGAGGCCUGGGGCUGCGGGAUUUCCGAAAUGUUAACAAAGCACUUAUGAUGAAGAAUGGGUGGUCUCUAUGUACUGAUCAAAAUAUGCUUUGGGUUCAAGUUAUUCGCGGGAAAUAUAAAUGUGGACCAGCGAAUAUACCUAUGGUCGUUAAAAGGCCAAACAGCUCAAACUUCUGGAGCGGGAUUUGUGAUGCAUGGGAUGAUAUCCAGAGAAGCAUGGCUUGGAAUAUAGAUGAUGGAACAAUGGUAUCAUUUUGGAAAGAUUCUUGGCUCCCUUCACGUACCAAACUGGUGGAUAAAGCUGCAUAGCUUUUUCCAAUUUAUCCACCAGACGAACUCAAUAAGUCUGUUGCACAUUAUGUUACUCUUGAAGGACAGUGGGAUAUGGAUCAAAUCAGAGGCUUGCUUCCUAUCUUAGUGUGGAACAAAUUGUUAGCGUAUGCUCCGCCUUCUCUGGUUCCCGAUGAAGAUAUAUUGGUUUGGGGUGUAGUAUCAAAUGGUCGGUUCUCCUUAAAGUCGGCCUUCCACUCUCUCCGGGCUGCUACGAGUCCUGUUCCUCUCUUCCAGGUUAUCUGGAAGUAGAAGGGGCCAGAACAACUUCGAUGCUUUCUUUGGAGGGUGGCACAUUCAAGUUUAUGUACAAAUGAAUGGCGAGCGCAUAAAUGUCUCACUCUAAAUGGAAAUUGUCCUGUGUGCAACAAUCAUAGUGAAACCAUUAUGCACAUAUUACGUGAUUGUAAUGAGUCAAAAGAAAUAUGGCGUGCAGUGGGUACGGAAGGCUUUCUCAACGAGUUUUUUAAUCUUCCACUAGUGACUUGGCUUCAGGAAAAUUUAACCCAUGUAGAUCCCUGAUGGUGUCUUAUGUUAGUGAUUGUGAUGGAUUCUUUAUGGCGAGCACGAAAUUCUAUUGUUUUCCAACAAGGAAAUUUUCACAGAACUCGACUAGUGGGUGAGAUUAAAGGAAGGGUUGAUGAAAUGACAAAAGUUUUUCUAAAAGAGGUUGUAUAUGUGAUAGAAGGCAAAGUGCUCUUGUUUCGGUUGGUUGGAAGUUUCCUCCAGAAGGCAUAUUGAAGCUGAAUUGUGAUGGUGCAGUUAAUGUAAACUCUAUAGCAGCUUGCGGAGGAGUGUUACAGGAUAGUUCGGGUAAUUUUGUUUUUGCCUUCGUAGGUAUGUUGGGGACAUGUUCUGUGGUCCAAGCUGAGUUAUGGGCAAUUUUUCAUGGAUUGCAGAUCAUUAAUGAGAAAGGAAUUUUUGACCCGAUUAUAAUUGAAUCGGACUCCGCUCUAGCAGUGAAGUUCCUCAAUGAAGGUUGUUCAAGAGAAAAUCCAUGUUAUUCUCUGGUCAAUCUCAUAGUUAAUAUGACAGGCGAUAAUCUAGCUGUGGAUUGCAACCAUAUUUUUUGUGAGGCCAAUCAGGUAGCAGAUUGUUUAGCUAAGAGGGGUAUAGAUAUUUUGGAUGGGAUUCAAAUUUUUAGCUCACCCCCCCCUUGGGUGAUGGCUCCUUUAUUUGCUGAUUCUUCUAAUGUAAUUUUCCCUCGUGGAUUUUAGUUUAGUUUGGCUGUUUUUUAGCCCUGUAUUUAAUCCAAAAAAAAUUCA